CCCCGGUAAACGGCGGCCGUAACUAUAACGGUCCUAAGGUAGCGAAAUUCCUUGUCGGGUAAGUUCCGACCUGCACGAAUGGCGUAAUGAUGGCCAGGCUGUCUCCACCCGAGACUCAGUGAAAUUGAACUCGCUGUGAAGAUGCAGUGUACCCGCGGCAAGACGGAAAGACCCCGUGAACCUUUACUAUAGCUUGACACUGAACAUUGAGCCUUGAUGUGUAGGAUAGGUGGGAGGCUUUGAAGUGUGGACGCCAGUCUGCAUGGAGCCGACCUUGAAAUACCACCCUUUAAUGUUUGAUGUUCUAACGUGGACCCGUAAUCCGGGUUGCGGACAGUGUCUGGUGGGUAGUUUGACUGGGGCGGUCUCCUCCUAAAGAGUAACGGAGGAGCACGAAGGUUGGCUAAUCCUGGUCGGACAUCAGGAGGUUAGUGCAAUGGCAUAAGCCAGCUUGACUGCGAGCGUGACGGCGCGAGCAGGUGCGAAAGCAGGUCAUAGUGAUCCGGUGGUUCUGAAUGGAAGGGCCAUCGCUCAACGGAUAAAAGGUACUCCGGGGAUAACAGGCUGAUACCGCCCAAGAGUUCAUAUCGACGGCGGUGUUUGGCACCUCGAUGUCGGCUCAUCACAUCCUGGGGCUGAAGUAGGUCCCAAGGGUAUGGCUGUUCGCCAUUUAAAGUGGUACGCGAGCUGGGUUUAGAACGUCGUGAGACAGUUCGGUCCCUAUCUGCCGUGGGCGCUGGAGAACUGAGGGGGGCUGCUCCUAGUACGAGAGGACCGGAGUGGACGCAUCACUGGUGUUCGGGUUGUCAUGCCAAUGGCACUGCCCGGUAGCUAAAUGCGGAAGAGAUAAGUGCUGAAAGCAUCUAAGCACGAAACUUGCCCCGAGAUGAGUUCUCCCUGAGACU
rnacentral:rRNA from 2 species